rnacentral:misc_RNA from 1 species
AACACUGUUAACCUGCGGUACCUGCGGAAGGAUCAUUACCGAGUGUGGUCCCAUAAGGGGCGCCUCCCGUCCUUUGCAGGGCCUUUAGGGGCUUUUUGACUUUGCUUCGGCGGGCUUGCCCCGCCGGAACACCCUCAAGAAAAUCUUUAUGAACCGUUUGUCUGAGUUGCUUGCGAAUAAAAACAAAACUUUCAACAACGGAUCU